GUAAGGAAUAUUGGACAAUGGUCGCAAGACUGAUCCAGCCAUGCCGCGUGAAGGAUGACGGCCCUAUGGGUUGUAAACUUCUUUUGAACGGGAGAAAACCCCUCUACGUGUAGAGGGCUGAUAGUACCGUUAGAAUAAGGAUCGGCUAACUCCGUGCCAGCAGCCGCGGUAAUACGGAGGAUCCAAGCGUUAUCCGGAUUCAUUGGGUUUAAAGGGUGCGUAGGCGGAAUGAUAAGUCAGUGGUGAAAUCUCUUCGCUUAACGAAGAAACUGCCAUUGAUACUGUCAAUCUUGAGUACAUUUGAUGUGGGCGGAAUGUGUCAUGUAGCGGUGAAAUGCUUAGAUAUGACACAGAACACCGAUUGCGAAGGCAGCUCACAAAACUGUAACUGACGCUGAGGCACGAAAGCGUGGGUAUCAAACAGGAUUAGAAACCCCAGUAGUCC
rnacentral:rRNA from 1 species